CAAUUUAUACUUUUAGUAAGAUUUUUCAUUUACAUUGAAAAUAAAUAUGUGCAAAUCAUAUUAAAUUGA